AUUGAACGCUGGCGGCAGGCCUAACACAUGCAAGUCGAGCGGAUGAAGGGAGCUUGCUCCUGGAUUCAGCGGCGGACGGGUGAGUAAUGCCUAGGAAUCUGCCUGGUAGUGGGGGAUAACGUCCGGAAACGGGCGCUAAUACCGCAUACGUCCUGAGGGAGAAAGUGGGGGAUCUUCGGACCUCACGCUAUCAGAUGAGCCUAGGUCGGAUUAGCUAGUUGGUGGGGUAAAGGCCUACCAAGGCGACGAUCCGUAACUGGUCUGAGAGGAUGAUCAGUCACACAGAAAUUGAGACACGGCCCGGACUCUUAGGGAAGGCAGAGUGGGGAAUAUUGGACAAUGGGCGAAAGCCUGAUCCAGCCAUGCCGCGUGUGUGAAGAAGGUCUUCGGAUUGUAAAGCACUUUAAGUUGGGAGGAAGGGCAGUAAGUUAAUACCUUGCUGUUUUGACGUUACCAACAGAAUAAGCACCGGCUAACUUCGUG
rnacentral:rRNA from 1 species